UACGUAGGGGGCAAGCGUUGUCCGGAUUUAUUGGGCGUAAAGAGCGUGUAGGCGGUUUGGUAGGUCCGUUGUGAAAACUCGAGGCUCAACCUCGAGACGCCGAUGGAAACCAUCAGACUAGAGUCCGGAAGAGGAGAGUGGAAUUCCUGGUGUAGCGGUGAAAUGCGCAGAUAUCAGGAAGAACACCCGUGGCUAAGGCGGCUCUCCAGUACGGUACUGACGCUGAGACGCGAAAGCGUGGGGAGCGAACAGG
rnacentral:rRNA from 1 species